rnacentral:rRNA from 1 species
AUUGAACGCUGGCGGCAUGCCUUACACAUGCAAGUCGAACGGCAGCACGGGAGCAAUCCUGGUGGCGAGUGGCGAACGGGUGAGUAAUAUAUCGGAACGUGCCCGGUCGUGGGGAUAACGUAGCGAAAGCUACGCUAAUACCGCAUACGAUCUACGGAUGAAAGCGGGGGAUCGCAGGACCUCGCGCGAUUGGAGCGGCCGAUAUCAGAUUAGGUAGUUGGUGAGGUAAAGGCUCACCAAGCCGACGAUCUGUAGCUGGUCUGAGAGGACGACCAGCCACACUGGGACUGAGACACGGCCCAGACUCCUACGGGAGGCAGCAGUGGGAAUUUUGGACAAUGGGCGCAAGCCUGAUCCAGCAAUGCCGCGUGCAGGAUG